UACGGGGGGGGCAAGCGUUGUUCGGAAUUACUGGGCGUAAAGGGCUCGUCGGCGGCCAACUAAGUCGGAUGUGAAAUCCCCAGGCUCAACUUGGGAACUGCAUCCGAUACUGGAUGGCUUGAAUCCGGGAGAGGGAUGCAGAAUUCCAGGUGUAGCGGUGAAAUGCGUAGAUAUCUGGAGGAACACCGGUGGCGAAGGCGGCAUCCUGGACCGACACUGACACUGAGGAGCGAAAGCCAGGGGAGCAAACGGG
rnacentral:rRNA from 1 species